rnacentral:lncRNA from 1 species
CGAUCACGUGUAUUUAGGGAUGUAAAUGGAUAUGGAUAUCCGAAUUUUAUCCGAAUCCAAACCCGAACGAAGCGGAUUUUACCUGAUGUAAAUGGAUAUGGAUUCGGAUAUGGAUAUAUAUAUAAAAAAAAUCUGACGGAUUCAAGUUCGGAUAUGAAUAUUUUUAAAAAACCCGAACCCGAACCCGAACCCGAAUCCGAACCCGACCCGAACCCGAACAAAUUUAAUAUGAUAUAAUAUAUAGAAAAAAAUUCAAGCUAUUAGAUCUGAAUGUAAAAGCCGUUAGAUCAAAAUCUAACGGCUAAUAUUCCAUCAACUUUUAACUUUCCCUCUUCCUAACCCUAAUUCCUCUUUCCUUUUUCCUUUCACACUUCACGCACACAGCCACCCUUCCUGUCUACGCAACAGCGCCCGAACUCGAAGAGCCCCCCGGCAACGCCUCCUCCAACUUCGUUGUUCGCACACUACCGGCAGCGCCUUCUCCAACUUCGCCGUUCGCACACUCCCGGCAGCGCCUCCUCCAACUUCACCGUUCGUACACUGCCGGCAGCGCAUUCUUUGUUGUUCUCAUAUCCCCAUGGGACUCUGGCAGCGGCGCUUUGAGCAGAUUCGUUCUUCGUCUUCCAUUGAUCUUCAUCUUCUUCUUUUUUUUUUCCCCCUUUUUCUUAUGAUUUUUUUGAGCAGAAUGUGAGGGAUUUUCUUUAUCGUAUCGAGUUCAGGAUUUUGAGUUCGGGUUCGGGUUUUGGAUUUUUGCUCGGGUUCGGAUUUGGAUAUGGAGUUUUAAAAUUCAUCGGGUUCGGUUUCGGGUUCGGAUUUGAUAGUCGGGUUCGGUUCGGGUUUUAAAAAACUCGCCCCGAAUCCGACCCGUUGACAUCCCCAAUCUCUUCGUAGAGGAAAAAAAAAAUAAGAGAAAAAAAGAAAAGAGAAAAAGAAUAAAGAUAUUUUGGUCAUUUUUUUAAAAUUCGAAACUUUUCUGUAAAAUUGAAAAAAACGAUCUAGUUUUGUAAAAACUUAAAAUCUGUAGAUUUUUUUAUACAAAUUGG